rnacentral:rRNA from 1 species
AUGUGCCAGGUUCCACGACGCCGCAUAAGUUUCUUCUUGAACAUGUUCGACUACAACGUGAACGAGUACCACGACGACCCUCGAAGAGCCCGGAUCCGUCAAGUUCCACUACCGCCGACUAGUACGACUACCGUCGCAAAAACGAGACCGUCAAGACCGGACCGACAAGUAACCCCGAGAACGUCUGCACCUCUACCGUCGACGUGCUUUUCGUCAAGUCUCUCUACGAAAACGUGUCCCACUACCGCCGCCCGAACGUCUACGAAACAUGUACCACGACCAUCGCUGAAGACCCCGUGGGCGUCAAGUUCCAUGUCGUGA